rnacentral:rRNA from 1 species
GACGAACGCUGGCGGCGUGCCUAAUACAUGCAAGUAGAACGCUGAAGGAGGAGCUUGCUUCUCUGGAUGAGUUGCGAACGGGUGAGUAACGCGUAGGUAACCUACCUGGUAGCGGGGGAUAACUAUUGGAAACGAUAGCUAAUACCGCAUAAGAGUAGAUGUCGCAUGACAUUUGCUUAAAAGGUGCAAUUGCAUCACUACCAGAUGGACCUGCGUUGUAUUAGCUAGUUGGUGAGGUAACGGCUCACCAAGGCAACGAUACAUAGCCGACCUGAGAGGGUGGACGGCCACACUGGGACUGAGAAACGGCCCAGGAUCCUACGGGAGGGAGCAGUAGGGAAUCUUCGGCAAUGGACGGAAGUCUGACCGAGCAACGCCGCGUGAGUGAAGAAGGUUUUCGGAUCGUAAAGCUCUGUUGUAAGAGAAGAACGAGUGUGAGAGUGGAAAGUUCACACUGUGACGGUAUCUUACCAGAAAGGGACGGCUAACUACGUG